rnacentral:rRNA from 1 species
GUGAGGAAUAUUGGUCAAUGGGCGGGAGCCUGAACCAGCCAAGUCGCGUGAAGGAAGAAGGAUCUAUGGUUCGUAAACUUCUUUUGCAGGGGAAUAAAGUGCAGGACGUGUCCUGUUUUGUAUGUACCCUGAGAAUAAGGAUCGGCUAACUCCGUGCCAGCAGCCGCGGUAAUACGGAGGAUCCGAGCGUUAUCCGGAUUUAUUGGGUUUAAAGGGUGCGUAGGUGGUUUGAUAAGUCAGCGGUGAAAGUUUGCAGCUUAACUGUAAAAAUGCCGUUGAAACUGUCGGACUUGAGUGUAAAUGAGGUAGGCGGAAUGCGUGGUGUAGCGGUGAAAUGCAUAGAUAUCACGCAGAACUCCGAUUGCAAAGGCAGCUUACUAAGCUACAACUGACACUGAAGCACGAAAGCGUGGGGAUCAAACAGGAUUAGAAACCCUUGUAGUCC